GGGUUCUGCACAGCUGCAACCUGGCAAGUCGAUGUGUUUUGAUGUGCAGACACGUAAAGCCUCGAGGUUUUGGCCAUAUUUUACGGAUUCAGGAGUGAUUUUCAUUGUUGAACCAAGUCCUCGUACGAACAAGUCGGCAGCAGUAAGUAAAUGCGCACAACAAGCUAGAGGCACCCAGGGCACCCCUUGCCGGGAAAGAACACGUAUUGUGCACCGUCUAGGUCGUCUGCCCUGCCGCAGACCGUGUUGCGCUGGCUUUUCAUGCUGUAACGAGGGAUGCGUAGGACUAACCUUCGACUGAUAUCCGGGAGCCAAGUCGAAAAAGUAGGAAUCGAAGCAGCGUGAACCAGCGAGUUGUUCUGGGGUUCCAGGGUCCUGCAACGAGUCGCUGCUCAUCAUACUGCCCCGCGUUCCCGUAAUUAGCGGUCUCCAUCCAGGUUCCUCAAGGCCUGAAACUCGCUGAUAUUUUCCGAACUCAGAUCCCGGAUACUUGAGGUUGAACGGUGGCGUCGGUCAGCAGAUAGCUUGCGUUGAACAUCAUAGACGCAACCCGCGGCACAAGCGUUUGCCAGUGCGGCAGGCAGCACGUAGAGCUCCCCGUGUGCACAGUGUUCCUGGUGUCCGUACUCCUCUACAUGGUGUCUGCGAGUCGCAUGCGUAAGCACGCCGUCCUGAAAAGUCAUGGGAUGUAUCGCAUAUCGGAUGAUAUCUCCGUCCGGCGUGUGUGCACAGAGGGAUCUUCUACGAGCACCUAACACGUGCAGUUGCAGAGAACGUUGCGUGCACCUUGGAGCGACGUAUUGAAGCACGUGUAUCGCUCUAGAACGUGCACUUUCUAGAGGAAGCGUGGGCUGUUUUGGAACCAUGAAGCUCUAAUUAUGAUGGUGCUGAUCGACUCUGUCGAGCGACUCAGAGGUAGGCCUCGAUUUCGUGCUGGAAACCUGAAACGGAUGACAUCCGCACGGCAUCGUAAUGAUCCAGCUGGUCCGUGGAAGGGUACGGCAAAGCCUUUGUUGUGUCUCCGCACGACACUCGUAGCGGCGUGUUUUGUAGCCAAACCAGCACCCGCGGUGUGCUCGGCUUUCGAAGAGUCACUGGCUCUACCAGGUCUCUAUCCCCAGCGUGGAGACUGGUCUAGAACUAGUGUGAAUCGAAACUAUCGGUGAAGGAGCUGAGUUUGCUUUCCCGGUUGCCGGCGUUCAGUACUGGAGCAUCCAGGAGGACCUGCUUCGAUCCAGCGAUGUCACACCAUUACAAACCGUUUCCUGAAUAUCAGCUUCGAAGCUAUGUGCACCUGCCGCGAACGACUUGCGCUGGAGACCAUGGUGUGCGUGAUCCGCGUCCAGUUCAGCACGGAGCACCGACAAAAGCUGCCGCCACUAGCGUAUGCGUUCCAGCGUCAAUCAUCGUCGAUGACGUUCUUUUCGGAAGCAUUGCAACGAUAAAAUAGGCUUGGCGUCGUCUGAUUCGGCGCUUCCUGCAAAAGCUCAUCGUCGCUUGAGGCGACCAGCAUCCCGUGAUGCACUGGAAUCCUUGUAUGCGUCACUGCAAGCACUGGACACUUCAUAGGAAUCCGCUUGAACAGGGUCAGCCGAUUCCGCGUUCCACUGAGCUCCUGAGCAAGGUUGCGAGUCGGUUUACAGAUCUCUAAAAGACGAAGCAUACCA